AUACACUGCCCCAUGACUUGGGUUGGACCUCAAGAUGAUCUCAAAACACAUGCAAUUUCCAGAGGCAAAGGCCCAUUGUGUGUUAGGAGCUCCAUGUGGCAGACCUACAUAGAUGACACAGAUUCACACAGUCUAUGUCUAAUAUAAUGACUGACAUCCUUGUAUAUGAAAGGCCAUAUCCUCUGAGAAUUGGAAUUCAGAAAGAAAGGUGAACCAGCAUAACAAAAAAGGUAAUCCAGACAAAUCAAAAAGCAAGUAGGUAACCCUGAGCUGCUGUUUCUCAGCUGAGGUGUCCCAGGCCCCAUAGCUUCAUCUGAUGUGUAUUUACAUUGUUGUCAGUGAUGUAAUAAUUACCAAAUUAUCUAAAACAUUUUCAGUUAUAAAAUUUAUACUGUCUUAUAGCUACCUCUCUCAAGACUGUUUAAAUGGCUGAGCCAAGAUGUGACAGAAGUUUACUGCAUUCCAUGAUUUACUUCUGGAACCCAGUGUCAUUAUUGGUCCAACUCAGUUCUUCGAGGUUGUAAGAUUAAAGUUCCUGUUUUGAUUUCCGGUGCAUUUUCUGUUCACUCCUAAAAUCUGCUCUCAUUCCUUGUCAUGCAGUUCUGUCCACCUUCAAACUAGCUAUGGAACACAAAACUUCACUUGUGCUUUGAAUGUCUGCCUUCCUUUUCUGGCACCAGUUAGAGAGAACUCCUGACUUUAAAUGGGUUGUCUGAGUGUGUCCAGACCAAUAAACUGUCCAUCAU
rnacentral:lncRNA from 1 species